rnacentral:rRNA from 1 species
AACGAACGCUGGCGGCAUGCCUAACACAUGCAAGUCGAACGAGAUCUUCGGGUCUAGUGGCGCACGGGCGCGUAACGCGUGGGAAUCUGCCCUUUGGUUCGGAAUAACAGUUGGAAACGACUGCUAAUCCCGGAUGAUGACGAAAGUCCAAAGAUUUAUCGCCAGUGGAUGAGCCCGCGUAGGAUUAGCUAGUUGGUGUGGUAAAGGCGCACCAAGGCGACGAUCCUUAGCUGGUCUGAGAGGAUGAUCAGCCACACUGGGACUGAGACACGGCCCAGACUACUACGGGAGGCAGAAGUGGGGAAUAUUGGACAAUGGGCGAAAGCCUGAUCCAGCAAUGCCGCGUGAGUGAUGAGGGCCUUAGGGUUGUAAAGCUCUUUUACCCGGGAUGAUAAUGACAGUACCGGGAGAAUAAGCGCCGGCUAACUCCGUGCCAGCCGCGGUAAUAC